UGCUUGAUGAGUGAAAUAUUUAAAUAAAAAAAAAAACUAAAAUAUUUUGAUCACGGAUUUCGUUUUGAACAAGAUGAGUGAUAAAAUUUGUUUUGAUUUUUGAAAAAUUCAAAUGAUCCAGUUCAGAAUAAACCAUUCAUAAUCUGAAUUAUAUUUGCAUGUACUAGAUCUGAGUAUAUUAUACCGAAAUAUACUGAAACGCGAGUUCUUUUCCCUGCAUCUUCGUCAACAUGAUUCGACUCGUUUGAUAUGCCGCGCCAAUGAAAACGUUCUUAUCCACCUGUUGGCAGUAUUUAUCGUAAUACAAGUAUAUAAAUGCUUUCAUCCACUAGAUUUAAGAAUAUUAUUCGAAGAUAUACUAAAAUGCGCCCUCUGUGCAGUUUGCAUUAGAAAAUAUCUCUUUCGAUCCCCUUCAGUCUCAUUUAGGUGAUAGGACUGAUCGGUCUACGGAAGUUUUGAUUGUGUUAUAAGUGUUAGAUACUGAAUACAUACUGCAAAGAGCAAAAAUUAAUUAGGAAUUAGGGAUACAUGGAGGGUUUGAUUGGAACAUUUCAAGAAUAUGGAAAUUGUUCAUGAACAAGUGGGAGUUACAUUAUCAUUUGCUGAUGAAAAUGCAAAUCAAUAGAUAUCUAUCGAUAUGAGUGAGAUACAAUUUUGGAAUAAUUCUUCAGGGCCAGAUCUCAAGUGAUAUUGGACAAAUCAUUCAAGAACAGAAAAAUAGAGCAACACAGAGGAAUCAAACCGCCAAGCCCAACUUGUUUUUGGUAUCAGGGGAAUAUCUAUUAUAGCCGAAAAGUUUCCAAAUUGUUGUAUAGAUUUAGAUGAACUUUUAAGAAUGUAUCUCGAAUUCUCUCCAUCUAAAUAAUUUAUUCUUUAGGAGAUAACUAUGUUCCUUUAAUCCUUUGUAGUACAAUGUUUUAUCCUGUAUUUGUUUAAAUGUAAUACAAUUUUUUUCCAAUGUAGAUAUUGUUUAUUUGUUGGUUUUUAUUUAUUAU